UACAGAGGGUGCGAGCGUUGUUCGGAAUUACUGGGCGUAAAGCGCGCGCGGGCGGCUUCCUAAGUCCGUUGGUGAAAGUUCGGGGCUCAACCCUGAAUCGGCCGUCGAUACUCCCGAGCUCGAGCACUGUAGAGGCAGAUGGAAUUCCGGGUGUAGCGGUGGAAUGCGUAGAGAUCCGGAAGAACACCGGUGGCGAAGGCGGUCUGCUGGGCAGUAGCUGACACUGAGGCGCGACAGCGUGGGGAGCAAACAGG
rnacentral:rRNA from 1 species